rnacentral:misc_RNA from 1 species
AUUUGACUCUAAAAGUAAUUGUCAGGGGCUUAAAAAGUCUUUUUAUCUCCGAUCUAUAAACAUAUGAUCUCAUGAUCAUGCUGUGCAAUUUAUAUACCACUCUAAAAAUUCAGGUACAACUUAAGUGUUUCUUGUUUGGCAAACAUCAAUACUAUUCCAUUCUAGAAAAACAAAAAAUUUAGAAAUUUAUACCACAGCACACUAAAUUGACAUCUUUCAGAAUUGCAUAUCACACUAAUCAAAACCUUAAUUUUAUUUAAUGAGUUAAACCUGUUUCAAAGUAAUUGUUGAGUGUUAAUUGCAUUUUUUUAUGAAUCAGUUCUUUAAUUACAGUGGGUGCUAAAACUUGGCAGCUAAACAUCCCAAACAGGCUAAUUUUAUAAAGCUUUUAUCAUACAAAUUUCCACCACUUUCUUUCAAGAUAAAUCUAAAUUAUGCACCCUAACCAAUCUCAACUUCAACCUUGUAGGCCACUAACCUGAGAAAGCAUCACAACUAAGACAAAAGUAUACAUCACAACUAAGACAAAAGUAUACAUGGAGAGAGUAUUAACUAGACCAAUGAGAAGAUAGUACAUGGACAUGCUACAACAAUAAAUUUGCAGAAUAACCUUUGUGAUUCAAUGAUUGGAAG